rnacentral:misc_RNA from 1 species
CAUGCCGCAUCUGAUGAAGAGUACGUGAAGGAGACCGAAGUAGUUAUCAACAAGGUCAGAACCGCCAUCAAGAUGGACAAAAACGAUCCUAACGUAGCUGAGGUAGCCGCUGACCUAAGAGAGACAUCCAAUUCUUGGGUGGCAAAGUAUAGAAGAGAGAAGGCUUUACUUGGCCGUGCUUCUUUUCGUGAUAUAUAUUCGGCACUGAAUGCUGUGUCUGGGCAUUAUAUUAGCUUUGGACUUACAGCCCCCAUUCCAGCAAAGCGG